AGAACCUUCGGGUUAGUGGCGGACGGGUGAGUAACGCGUGAGAAUCUGCCCUCAGGAGGGGGAUAACGGCUGGAAACGGCCGCUAAUACCCCAUAUGCCGAGAGGUGAAAUGAAUUUCGCCUGAGGAUAAGCUCGCGUCUGAUUAGCUAGUUGGUGUGGUAAAGGCUCACCAAGGCAUCGAUCAGUAGCUGGUCUGAGAGGAUGAUCAGCCACACUGGGACUGAGACACGGCCCAGACUCCUACGGGAGGCAGCAGUGGGGAAUUUUCCGCAAUGGGCGCAAGCCUGACGGAGCAACGCCGCGUGAGGGAUGAAGGCCUCUGGGCUGUAAACCUCUUUUAUCAAGGAAGAAGAUCUGACGGUACUUGAUGAAUAAGCCACGGCUAAUUCCGUGCCAGCAGCCGCGGUAAUACGGGAGUGGCAAGCGUUAUCCGGAAUUAUUGGGCGUAAAGCGUCCGCAGGCGGUUUUACAAGUCUGUCGUUAAAACGUGGAGCUCAACUCCAUUUCGGCGAUGGAAACUGUAAGACUAAAGUGUGGUAGGGGCAGAGGGAAUUCCCGGUGUAGCGGUGAAAUGCGUAAAUAUCGGGAAGAACACCAGUGGCGAAGGCGCUCUGCUGGGGCAUAACUGACGCUCAUGGACGAAAGCCAGGGGAGCGAAAGGGAUUAAAUACCCCUGUAGUCCUGGCCCGUAACGAUGAACACUAUGUGUGGGGGGAAUCGACCCCCUCGGUGUCGUAACCAACGCGUUAAGUGUUCCCCCCGGGGAGUACCCCCGCCAGUGUUGAACUCAAAGAAAUUGA
rnacentral:rRNA from 1 species